GGAGGCGGCGUUCAGAAAUAGGGCGCUGGCUUUGCCAGGAGCGGCUCCUCUCCAAGCCUGGCGGUCACUGCCCUGUGUCCCCUUUUGGGCCUCUCCUGGUCCUCCUGGUUGGAUUAGGAGGCCUCUCAGCCCGGAGUCUGGGUCGCCGAAGUACAGGCCCCUUCACUGAAGCGACCCACGGCGCAGGGGUUUCUGGAAGCCAUCGCCAGGCUCCGAGUGUUCAGAUGCAGCUGCCAGGCUCAGGACGCAGAGAACUGGCUUCCAGCUCGCAGGAGCGCCUGUCCGUGGUGGGUAGGGUCGCAGGCGUGGGGUGUGCAGGAGCAGUGGGACAGCACUGAAACGCAGUCGGAAGAGAUACCACGGUGUGCAGGCACAGGGAAAAGACCACGUGAGGACACAGAGAGAAGACGGCCGUCUGCAAGCCAAGGAGAGAGGCCUCAGGUGAAACCAAACCUGCAGGCACCUUGAUCUUGGACUUCCAGCCUCCAGAAGCUUGAGAAAAGAAAUUUCUGUUGUUUAAGACACCCAUUCUGUGGUAUUUGUUCUGGCAGCCCUAACAAACUAAUAUAGGGAUCUAAAGAUUCCUUGUCUUCAUUUUGAGUAAGAGACUAUAAACUCAGAACUGUGGAGAUCUAGUUAGGUAUUGUACAGCUAGCCUCAUUCUGUCUUAAACUCCAGGUAAAAGAGAAAAAUAUGGAGACAGCCCCUGACUUUGGAGAACUUGCAGUUUUGUGGAGGUGAAAGGAGGCAGCCACAAGAAAAACCCCUGACAUCAAUUCAAAACUAUAAAUAACAAAGACUAACUUGUUCUAUGCACAACAGGUACUACAGCACUGUCCAACAUGGGGACAUGUGAGUGGCCUGAAGCAGCACAAGAACUGGGCAAUAAACUUGAGAUGAACCUCAAAGCAUCAAUAUUAUUCAUGACUAAACUGGGUUCUAAGAAUUUCUAUUUUUACUCUCAGUGUUCAGUAGAGGUCAUUAAAAAAAAAUCUAGCAAUUUUUUUUUCUAAAAUGAAUAUGUAAUAAGAAUGAAAAACAAAAAGCACUAUAAUGUUUUUAAUUAAUGAAAUGCCUUUACGAACCAAGGUGCCAUCUUGGAGAAGCUAGGCAUUAUGAGGAGCUAUCAGGAGCACAUUUGCUAACAGCUUGGCAUGAGCAGGAUUUUCUUGACCAACUGGCAAGAUGGGGCUGCUCAGCUCCUGCUGGCAGAUUUUUAUGGAGCAUAGUUUUACAAAUUCAGCCUACAACUCUGAUACGUUCCAAUGUAUUUUAAACAUCUAUUCAGUUGCAACUCUAAUCCCAGGAACCUGUGGCUAACAGAAGGCAGAUUUAACUGACUAGCAGCUGUGGGAUUUUCAAAGUCUAAACUGAAAUGAACAUGCGAAACAGUUGGACUACCCCAAAAGCUGAAUUACAAUUCCAGCACUCACCAGCUCUGAAACCUCACUUGGUUACCUAACGCCUCUGUGCCUCAGUUCCCCAGCUAUAAAAUGGAAAAGGCAACAAUACCAACCUUGUAGAUUAUGUUUUGGAUUAAAUGAGGCAACACAUACACAGCACUUAGAACGUGCAAGGCACAAUGGAAGCAUGCAGUGAACAUGACUUGUAAUGAUGCUGACUGUCAUAACUCUCAUCCAUAGGGAUGCUGCCUCUGCUUGUCACCCUUGACCUAUAUAUUUUCAGGCAGUCCUCACCCAGUCCCCAUUUGUGUGUUCUAGAUAGAAAAGGCCCCAUACUAUGAAAUGACUACUGUCCUUCUGCAUGAAGCCUGGUGAACCUGAUAAUGUAGCCUUCAAGUUCCCUUACUGAGCCUUGAGCUCCCUUCAAAGUAUCCAAGCCAACCCUGUCUUGGGAAACUCACCUAGAUAAUGCCCUGAACCCCAAUAAAGGCUCCAGCCCACAGGUCCCUCCCUCUCUCUUGGUCCCCACCCUUUGGCUGGGCAUGUGUGUCCUCAAUGUCUCCAAGCCCUUCCAGUAAGCCCUGCAAGGUGUGCUGGCCACUGUUCUCUGGAAUCUGUGAGUAAUAAACAAUCUUUUUGCCAUUCUGCUCU
rnacentral:lncRNA from 1 species